rnacentral:misc_RNA from 1 species
GAUGAAGAACGUAGCGAAAUGCGAUAAGUAAUGUGAAUUGCAGAAUUCAGUGAAUCAUCGAAUCUUUGAACGCACAUUGCGCCCGCCAGGAUUCUGGCGGGCAUGCCUGUCUGAGCGUCAUUUCAACCCUCAUGCCCCUAGGGCGUGGUGUUGGGGAUCGGCCAAAGCCCGCGAGGGACGGCCGGCCCCUAAAUCUAGUGGCGGACCCGUCGUGGCCUCCUCUGCGAAGUAGUGAUAUUCCGCAUCGGAGAGCGACGAGCCCCUGCCGUUAAACCCCCAACUUUCCAAGGUUGACCUCAGAUCAGGUAGGAAUACCCGCUGAACUUAAGCAUAUCAAUAAGCGGAGGA